GAAAAGAUACAAAUACAAAAACAUGUCGCAUGGUACAUGUAACCAAUAACCCAUAUAAUAAGAUAUCUAUUGCAGUUAAAAUUGAUUAUAAUGUUGGUAUUAUUUAUUUUUUAUUUAUUUCAUGAUAGUGAAGGCCCUCUCUCCUUCUCCCUGUUUUGUUUUUCAAAUUAGGUUUGGAUUUUGAAAAUCACCAACAAGUACAGAUAGAAAUAAAAGGUAGAAAGAAACUAUAAAUGAAUAAAGAAAAAUGGAGAAGGAUUUUUUUCUUUUUAUAUUUAUUAAUUUAAAUUAUUUUUAUUUACCAAUGUAGCUUGCAUUUUGGGUAACUAUUUUUUUGAAAGCAAUUAUAUUUCUAAAAUUUGCAAUUGUGGUUAAUUAUUAUUUUGCUCGUCCUUUUCUUCUUUGUAUUUACAAUUUAUUAACAUAAAUUUAAAUAUCUUGAUUAUAUUAAUAAAUAUAUUAUUACUUAUAAAUAAGUAUUAAAAGAAAAACAGAAAAGGAAUAAUGUCUUUGUUUUUUCCAUUUAUCAAUAUAAGUAUUAUCGGUUAAUUAAUUUUCUAUUUUUUUUUUUGCAUUCUUAAGUAAAAAUAAUUCAUAUUACAUAAUUUCUAUUACCUCAAAAGCAGACUCUCUUCCCAGAUUGACCACUGAAUGUCCAAUCCAAUCAAGAGGUGAAUAUGUUUUGAAGUCUUUCAAGUUUUAUAAAAUCCUUCGGUAUGAGAAUUGGUCAGAGGUGGCCACCAUUUUGUUUGGGAUUUAAGGAGCGUACUGCGGCCUCCUCGCGAUCCACACUAACAAAAGCAAAAUACAGGAAUUAAUUUUUGGGGUUGUGUAGAUGGUCAAAAUUACUUGGAACCACUCGAUGUGAAAUUUGAUAGUUUGGAUGUACUAUAAAGUUCAAAAAAAUUUAUUUUGAAGGUUGAGCUUAAUCAAUGAAAUAAUUGCAGCCACUAAAUUUCACAUCUAAUAUCUAAUGGUCAAGAUUAAUGUAAUCACAUUGUACUAAAGGUAGGUAGUCUCAUUUUAUACUUUUCAAUUUUUUUAAAUUUUUUUCAAGAAUACCCCAAUUUUGUAUUCUCUAGGCAUCCUCGACAAUACUUUUGAGUUUGGAUAAAAG
rnacentral:lncRNA from 1 species